rnacentral:misc_RNA from 1 species
CGCCACCCGCCUCAACGCACACGCGCUUCCUCUCAUAUGUAUCCGUCAGAAACGAAACGGAGGACAACAACAGCUUACGUCUUCUCCUUCCAGGAAGCAAGCUGGGCAACCAGAUAGUGCGGCCACACGUCAUUCCCCUCCUCCCACACGUUACCCAUGGCAACCCCAGCUGGACGCUCCGUCAAGUUCUCCCUCGAGGAGGAUCCUGUGGGGCACAUGGCCGAGGGUGAGGCCACUCCGUCGGCGGUGACAGCGCCGGCCGCCGCCGGAGCAUCCGUAUCUAUACCAGAGGAGCCCGCCAACGCGACCGAGAGAAGCCCUGCCACGUUAUUGCCCGCGGACGCAAGCGUGUCUUCCGCUGCAGAGGAGGCCCCGUCCGCCGCAUCUUGCAGCACACCCACAGCUGCCGCUGAGGCAUCGCCGAUGGCGUCCAUGUCCGCACUCAAGCCAAAGGAUCGCAUCGGGACCUCCACUCGCCGAAGCAAGUUCGUGUUCUGCGAGGAGUGCCACCAGAACGUGCCGAUCGAGGAGUGGCCUGACCACCGUGAUCGUCUGCGGAAGGUGAACCUCGUGGAGGAAGUGAGCAGGUUCCACCACACGCUCGUGCGUCUCAUGGGCGAGUUCCUCAUGUGGGUGCUGCGCAGCGUGUACUUCCGUGAAGUGACGGUGGUGGGACGCGAAAACAUCCCUCGCACCGGUGCCGUCGUCUUCUACGGCAACCAUCAAAACCAGUUCAUCGACGCGCUCAUGAUGCACUCGCACUGCGGCCGGCCUGUUCGCUUCCUCAUGGCCGAGAAGUCCUUCCACAGACCUGUUAUUGGGACCUUAGGUCGCAUGUUUAACUCCGUCCCGGUUGUGCGGCCGCAGGAUGUGCCGCUAGUGGAUGGCGACGGAAAGCUGGUGAGGGCCGAGGGGAAGCUCAUUGUCGGCGCCGGAACACACUUCUCGCGACUCUCCAAGGGUGAUGUUCUCAGCUGGGGAGUCCCCGGAAACUCCAAGUGCCGUGCGCAGGUGAGCCGCAUCACCUCCGACGAGGAAGUGGAGGUGACGGUGCCGAUCCCGGUGGAGCACGAGGUACACACACCCACCAGCUUCAAGUACUCGGUGCGCAUCGACCACUCUGAAAUGUACGCCCAGGUGUACGACACGCUGCAGAAGAAUCACUGCAUCGGUAUCUUCCCCGAGGGCGGCUCGCACGACCACACAUCACUCCUGCCGCUGAAAGCCGGCGUGGCUCUUUUCAGCCUGGGCGCGGCGGAGCGGCACAUCAGCGUGAAGAUCGUGCCUGUGGGCUUAACGUACCUCUACGGGCACAAGUUCCGCAGCCGAGCAUACAUUGAGUUUGGCGAGGCCUUCUCGCCCCCGGACGACCUUGUAAAGCUUUUCGACACAGACAAGCGCAAGGCGACAGGGCUGUUUCUCGAGCAGCUGAACGCAGCCCUGCGGGCUGUGACAAUCAACGUGCCGGACUACAAAACGCUGAGCUUCCUGCACUCCUUUCGGCAGCUUUAUCAGCCGCCGAACUGCAUGCUGUCCGGGCACGACUACCUGCGACUCAUCCGUCGGCUAGGCAACGUCAUCGAGGAGCAACGCGAGAGCGCCGAAUUCGCGGAGUUUCGUGAGAAGGUAGAGAACUACUCGGACUUCUGCAAGGCGCUGAUGAUCCGCGACAGCCAGGCAGCAACGCUGAAGCAGCUCCUUAACGCCGACAACGAGGCGCUGCAGAUUGGGCUGCUGCUGCGUCGCGUGUUCGCCUUGUACUUGAUGGCGGUCAUCCUCGUCCCCUUCUUCGUUGUAGGCCUGCCGAUCGGUGGCAUUAUCAAGUACCUGGCCCUCAAGCAAACAAAACGCGCGCUUUCGGAGAGCUCCGUCAAGAUCGUGGGGGCGGACGUCACUGGGUCCUUCAAGGUGCUCUUUGCCUUUGCGGUGGUGCCGGGGGUGUUCCUGUUGGUGACGUUCAUCGUCUUCCUCUACUCGGACAGCCGCACGGCGCUGGUGAUCCUCUUCUCGCUUCCCAUGGCCAUGUACGUCUCGUUGCUCAUUCUUCAAGAGGCCAUCAUGGAGCUGCGAGCCGCGCUCCCGCUGCUCAUGUCGCUGGUCUCGCAGCACAUGCAGUUCAAGAAGCUUUACGAGCGCCGCGAGGACCUCGCCAGGCAAGCACGGCUCAUCGUCCACAAGUACGACCCACAGCUGGAGGAGGAGAUUAAGGUGUAUGGCGACUCCGGCGACGGCAACGACGACCUGAACCGCGAGCCAUCGCUAUUCUCUCUUCGCUACAAUGUCCGACGCCGGCAGGCCACGAACUCUUGAGGCGUGUGUGUGGGACACGCCGAGGCGAGCAUUCCUGUGGUGUGGCUGCCGUAAAUGCGUGUUGAACGGCUUGGCGAAGGAGUAAGGACGGCCCCUCUGCGUGUUGGCAGCACCGGGUGGCUGCAGGAAGUGCGAGCGGCGGCUGCAGGUACAAUGCGAAAAGCAGGAGAACGCUGCUGGGAUCGUUACAGGGCAACACUGUUGAGGGCGGCUUGCCCAGCUUCCCCGCUGUGCGGUGUACACAGCCACUGCCUUCAACCUACGGUGCUCUAUACGCAGUCGUUGAUACCAAUUUGCUUUAGGGACUUUUUUUACGUAUUUUCACGCUUGCAUGCACACACACACGCAUCAGACAACGCCGUCUUCUCCAGACGCCCUUUGCUUCAUCUCUCUCGUUCUCUCUUCCCUCGUGGGUCUUUGACGCACGUCGAGUUGCUUUUUACGUGGCGUGCUCGUGGAGGGCGGGAGGUGGCUGCCCGCAUGUCAUCUCUCAUUCCCUCCUCCCUUUAACGCAAUGGACACGACUGUUUUCCCUGCGGACGAAUCUGUUCUCACCCUCUAUAUGCGUGCGCUGCCUCGUCUAGCCUUCGCUCCUUC